CACCCACAACUUCUGGAAUCAAGUUAUUCCACUGAUUGAUUGUUCUCACUUGAAAAGAAAUUUCUCCUUAGUUCUACGUUGGUUCUCUCCUGAAUUAGUUUUCAUCCACUGCUGCUUGUCUUGCCUUCUGGUGCUUUGGAAAAUAGGUUGAUCCCCUCUUCUCUGUGACAGCCCCUCAAAUAUUGGA